GACGAACGCUGGCGGCGUGCUUAACACAUGCAAGUCGAACGCUGAAGCUCAGCUUGCUGGGUGGAUGAGUGGCGAACGGGUGAGUAACACGUGAGUAACCUGCCCUCUUCUUUGGGAUAACGCCCGGAAACGGGUGCUAAUACUGGAUAUUCACUGAUUCUCGCAUGGGGGUUGGUGGAAAGGUUUUUUCUGGUGGGGGAUGGGCUCGCGGCCUAUCAGCUUGUUGGUGGGGUGAUGGCCUACCAAGGCUUUGACGGGUAGCCGGCCUGAGAGGGUGACCGGUCACAUUGGGACUGAGAUACGGCCCAGACUCCUACGGGAGGCAGCAGUGGGGAAUAUUGCGCAAUGGGCGAAAGCCUGAUGCAGCGACGCCGCGUGAGGGAUGGAGGCCUUCGGGUUGUAAACCUCUUUCGCUCAUGGUCAAGCCGCAGCUUUGGGUUGUGGUGAGGGUAGUGGGUAAAGAAGCGCCGGCUAACUACGUG
rnacentral:rRNA from 1 species